rnacentral:lncRNA from 1 species
CCGGGAAGAAGCGUUUUCUUAUCUGCCGUACCGCACUGUUGAUGGGUUUUGUGAAUUUUGUGAACUCAAGCUACCAAUGCGUGAUGAAGGCGAAUGGACAACACUGGGCAAGAUACCAAAAAGAAAUGGAGACUUGAAGAACAAAAGCAGCUAUGUGUACACAUAUUAUGGACGUUCAACACAAGCUCAGGCCGAUUGCUCUCACCUCCCGGGACCAAGGCAAUGGAGUGAGGGAAGAGAG